UUCUUACUUGCAACACAUGGAAGCUUAGAGUGCUAGCUUCUAAGGCAGGCUGUAGUAAGCAUUAAGUACUCUUUGAAGACUGGAGACCUACCUCUGUGGGAGCGCGUGCAAGACCCCCAAGUUCCAUCCCCAACAACAGGAAAAAAGUUACUCUUUGGAAAUACUUGGCACAUUCCAACACUUCAAAGAAAAUGUGGUUUUAAAGAAAAUUUGUCAUGAGGACUAGUGUCUGCCUUCAUAAUGUGGCUUCAGUAAAGAUAUGUUCUUAAUUAGAGUGCUCACUUUGUGUUCUCAGGAGCUCAUUCCAAGAAUCUCCAAAACUCAAUCUCUUUGAUAAAAUAGUUUGUAUAUUGGAUAAGUUAUUUUCUCCUUGUUUUUGUUCAUGUAAGUAAACUUAGGUUUGGGAGGGACCGGAGCAUGAUUUUCAGGUGGAGUAUCAAUCUGUAAUUUAAGAAAUAGCAUUGGUCAACAUGCAUUUUCUUCGAACAAAAGGAAGGGGAUGAAAUCUGCCUUGUACGCUAAGUAAAAACAUGAAGGUCUGGAACUAUAUGCAUCAGGAUAGUGCUUGCCUGGCUUUUGUACCAGACCCAGAAUUCUCUUCCCCAAGCAAACAAACAAACAAAAAAACCCAUUAAUAUGCUUGUGAGUUGGCAAAUUUUGAGAGUGACUACCAAAGAAUGAAUAGAGCCUGCCUGAUACUGAAGUUGGUUUUACUUGGUUUUGUUCUUUGCAGUCCUGGGAAUUAAACCAAUGGACUCAUACUCAUAACAUAUGCAAGUGCUCUACCACACAUACACAUAUACAUACACAUACACAUACACAUAUACAUACAUGUAUAUAUAUCCCUAGUCCAUAAUGGAUUUUUGUUUUGUUUUGUUUUGUUUUGUUUUUUGAGACAAGGUCUUUCUACAUAGUUCUAGCUGUCUAGAACUCACUAUAGAUAGUAGACCAGGUGAGCCUUGAACUCACACUGAAUCUACCUACCUCUGCCUCUCCAGUGCUAUUAAAGGUGUGCCCUUCACCCCACCCUGACCCUGUUUUUAUUUUUUAAGUAAAUCUUUUCAGUAUAUUAGCAUUAUAAUGGAGACUCAGACUAAUUAAAAUUGUGUGGUAUAAAAGUGUGUAGAGUAAUUUAAGGCAAACAUUUCCUAGUCCCUCCCCUUCCUCAGUUAAUGAAAUAUGUGAACUCUUAGAGGACGCCUUGGUGCUUUAAGGUAAUCCUGAUAGCUUUCAGUUUAUGGACAAUUCCAAACCACUAGAGAGAUUUCUAAACACAGGAACCAUAUGGCCUGGUUUGUGUCUCAUGAAGCAGCUCAGGGAAGGUGAAGAAAGAAGUGAGCAGUAAGUAGAGCUGUUGGAAUAAAUGAACAGUAGCCGAUGUCAUCUGAAUAUGAAGG
rnacentral:lncRNA from 1 species